rnacentral:rRNA from 1 species
UCGAACGUUGAAGAAAUGAAGGUCUACAGGUCGAAACUCUUUUGAGGGGAUAAAUGCAGGACGGGCCAGUUUGAUCUACCCUGAGAAUAAGGUCGGCUAACUCCGUGCCAGCAGCCGCGGUAAUUAAACCUGACGGCCCCGGCAUUUGCCAGGCCAGCAGCCGCGGUAAUAA